AGUGAACGCUGGCGGUAGGCCUAACACAUGCAAGUCGAACGGCAGCACAGUAAGAGCUUGCUCUUACGGGUGGCGAGUGGCGGACGGGUGAGGAAUACAUCGGAAUCUACUUUUUCGUGGGGGAUAACGUAGGGAAACUUACGCUAAUACCGCAUACGACCUACGGGUGAAAGUAGGGGAUCUUCGGACCUUGCGCGAUUGAAUGAGCCGAUGUCGGAUUAGCUAGUUGGCGGGGUAAAGGCCCACCAAGGCGACGAUCCGUAGCUGGUCUGAGAGGAUGAUCAGCCACACUGGAGCUGAGACACGGUCCAGACUCCUACGGGAGGCAGCAGUGGGGAAUAUUGGACAAUGGGCGGAAGCCUGAUCCAGCCAUACCGCGUGGGUGAAGAAGGCCUUCGGGUUGUAAAGCCCUUUUGUUGGGAAAGAAAAGCAGCAGGUUAAUACCCCGCUGUUCUGACGGUACCCAAAGAAUAAGCACCGGCUAACUUCGUG
rnacentral:rRNA from 1 species